AGGCCGUGAUGGGGACACUUGCGUAAUAGCUCCUUGAACCUUUCCCAGGUUUCAUAUAAGGAUUCCCCGUCCUCUUGUGAGUAUGUAUUAAUUUCAGCCAUUAAUUU
rnacentral:snoRNA from 1 species